GCUGGGCGUGGUGGUGCACGCCUGUAAUCCCAGCUACUUGGGAGGCUGAGGCAGAAGAAUCACUUGAACCCAGGAGGCGGAGGUUGCAGUGAGCCGAGAUCGCGCCACUGCACUCCAGCCUGGGUGACAGAGGGAGACUCCAUCUCAA
rnacentral:SRP_RNA from 2 species